GGGGAAGGAAUAGAAGCUGAGCAAAUGAAUGAAAUGCCUUCUUCCAUAUGUGUUUCUGGGCUGUGAGGAAAGUACCAGAGCUGAAAGCUCUUGCAACUCUUGGAAUUCUUCUAUCUUGGGCAACGUGAUGGCACCUGAUGGAGAAUGAAAACACGUCAAAGGCUCUGAGAUAUUCAUCUUCCAGAAAGCUUGUGAGAGGAAGAGUCACAUUAUGGAAAUGCCUGUGUCUCUGUGUUAACAGUAGAAGUCAGUCCAAGGCCAGAAUCUGUGAGCACCUUGAUUCAGGGAUGUACUGUACCUGAUGAGAUCAUACUUUGAUUUUGGCCACCCUCAAGCUCCUACAGAAGAAUGGAAGGCAAGGAAAAGGGUGCAAAUACUUGGGGCCUAGAUAGCAGGGAGUGAGCAUGGUAGAGGCAGCUCCCCACAGCAGUCACCACAUCCAACAGUGGGAUUAACCUGAACUUCAUGGAACAGAUGUAUGGGUAAGCAAGGAGAUAAUGAUGACGCACCAACAUCGAUCUCUCAUAAAAAUCCUUUUUAGACUGAGAUCAUUCAAAUAUUUACUAUAAUUUCUUAAGACCUCUGAAAGUCUUUAGUAUUUCAUUUAUAUAGUGAAAAGGCUGUAGGUCUUCCAGGAUAUCUCUCUCACUUCCCUUCUCAUAUCUCAUUUUUCACCUCCUACUGAAAUGAAUGACUGCUGAUCACCUG
rnacentral:lncRNA from 1 species